rnacentral:rRNA from 1 species
CCUACGGGUGGCAGCAGUAGGGAAUUUUGCGCAAUGGGCGAAAGCCUGACGCAGCAACGCCGCGUGAUCGAGACGCCCUUCGGGGUGUAAAGAUCUGUCAGUGGGUGCGAAACUUGACGGUACCCACAGAGGAAGCACCGGCUAACUCCGUGCCAGCAGCCGCGGUAAUACGGGGGGUGCAAGCGUUGUCCGGAAUCAUUGGGCGUAAAGAGUUCGUAGGCGGCACGUAAAGUCUGGUGUUAAAGGCAGAGGCUCAACUUCCGUACGGCAUUGGAUACUGGCGAGCUAGAGUGCGGUAGAGGUAAAGGGAAUGCCUGGUGUAGCGGUGAAAUGCGUAGAUAUCAGGAGGAACAUCGGUGGCGUAAGCGCUUUACUGGGCCGUAAUUGACGCUGAGGAACGAAAGCCAGGGUAGCAAAUGGGAUUAGAUACCCGUGUAGUC